rnacentral:tRNA from 2 species
UCCUCGAUAGUCUAGUGGUGAGGAUAUCGGCUUGUCAUUCUACGAUUCGCCGGGGACCGGGGUUCAAUUCCCCGUCGAGGAG